GGGUCAGUAGGUUGGUCGUGCCACCGGUACGUACUGGUCUCACUGAUUCCUCCUUCCUGAAGGACCGUAAUGCCAUUAAUUUGGUGUUGCGGGGAAACAGGACUGUUACUUUGAAAAAAUUAGAGUGUUUAAAGCAAGCUAACGCUUGAAUACAUUAGCAUCGAAUAAUGGAAUAGGACGAUCGAUCCUAUUUUGUUGGUUUCUAGGAUUGACGUA
rnacentral:rRNA from 1 species